GCAAGAAGAUGGAGCCAUAGCUGCACAUCUUCCAAAUCCAGUAGAUGAUGAAAAUCUGGCAGUAGGUGAUACGAUUACUGAAGAAGUGCCUGAGGCUCCUGUCAAUGUGAAUCCUGGCACUACAGGAGUGAGCGUAUCAAGAGAGAUUCCUGCUAAUCAGCUGCUGCAUGAGCCAGGGACAAGGGUUCAAAAACCAGCUGAUGAUCGCUUGUUCACAUGGG
rnacentral:misc_RNA from 1 species